UAACGAAAGGGAAUCGGGUUAAUAUUCCCGAACCCGAGCACGGAGAUUGGCCCGCCUCCGGGGUCCAGUGCGGUAACGCAAACGAAACGGGAGACGUCGGCGCAGGUCCCGGGAAGAGUUCUCUUUUCUUUGUAAGGGACGGACACCCUGGAAUCGGCUUGGCCGGAGAUAGGGUCGUUGUUCCCGUAAAGCACGCGCUUCCCGCGGUGUCCGGUGCAUCUGCGUCGGCCCUUGAAAAUCCCGUGGAGACAGUGUGAUUUUCGUGCCGGACCGUACCCAUAUCCGCAGG
rnacentral:rRNA from 1 species